UACGUAGGGCGCAAGCGUUUAUCCGGAAUUAUUGGGCGUAAAGAGCUCGUAGGCGGUUUGUCGCGUCUGCUGUGAAAGACCGGGGCUCAACUCCGGUUCUGCAGUGGGUACGGGCAGACUAGAGUGCGGUAGGGGAGAAUGGAACUCCUGGUGUAGCGGUGGAAUGCGCAGAUAUCAGGAGGAACACCAGUGGCGAAGGCGGUGGUCUGGGCCGGUACUGACGCUGUAGAGCGAAAGCGUGGGGAGCGAACAGG
rnacentral:rRNA from 1 species